GAUGAACGCUGGCGGUAUGCUUAACACAUGCAAGUCGAACGGUCACUUCGGUGAUAGUGGCGGACGGGUGAGUAACGCGUGAGAAUCUGUCUUCAGGUCGGGGACAACAGUUAGAAAUGACUGCUAAUACCGGAUGUGCCUUUGGGUGAAAGAUUUAUUGCCUGAAAAAGAGCUCGCGUCAGAUUAGCUAGUAGGUGGUGUAAGAGACUACCUAGGCUCCGAUCUGUAGCUGGUCUGAGAGGACGAUCAGCCACACUGGAACUGAGACACGGUCCAGACUCCUACGGGAGGCAGCAGUGGGGAAUUUUCCGCAAUGGGCGAAAGCCUGACGGAGCAAUACCGCGUGAGGGACGAAGUCGUUUGGGUCGUAAACCUCUUUUCUCAAGGAAGAUGAUGACGGUACUUGAGGAAUAAGCAUCGGCUAACUCUGUG
rnacentral:rRNA from 1 species